rnacentral:rRNA from 1 species
UACGUAGGGGGCGAGCGUUGUCCGGAUUCAUUGGGCGUAAAGCGCGCGCAGGCGGUUCUGCGAGCCCGGCGUGAAAGCCCCCGGCUCAACCGGGGGAGGCCGUCGGGGACCGCAGGACUGGAGGCCGGUAGGGGCGAGUGGAAUUCCCGGUGUAGUGGUGGAAUGCGUAGAGAUCGGGAGGAACACCAGUGGCGAAGGCGGCUCGCUGGACCGGUCCUGACGCUCAGGCGCGAAAGCGUGGGGAGCGAUCCGG